rnacentral:lncRNA from 1 species
GAUGAUGGAGGGGAUUAAUUUGAGAUCCGAGAGAGGGAGGAGCGUGUUGGGCCACUGCAUGAUGCUGCAAGCAAGGGGCAAGUGGAUACUUGCAAGCACUCGGUGGAGCAUCUCGGAUUUGACCUCAAUUCUGUUGCUACUGAUGGCUCCGGUACGUAUGUCCUCAGGUGCUAGAUUAAACAUUUUCAUGUUUUGAUUAGUUCAGUUUUUCUGCUUAUAUAAUAAUUUGGUUGUUAUGUAAUUCUUAAUCAGAGAAUUUGACGAUCUGCCAAUUGAAAAUAUGGUCUUUUAUGACGUGAAUUGUUUAUAUAUUUUAUCAGGAGAUCAUACUCUAUAAUUGUGGUACAUGAAUGCUCUUGUUUCUUCUUGUACAACAUGGUUUCUUCUUCUUCUUCUUUUGCCUAGUGUCACCUCUCUGUCACUAGAAAUGGUAUUAUACAGUGAUGAAGUACAUUAUAAGUCUGCUACUUUGUUGUCAUUGCUAUUGGUUGCAUACUUUUUGUGCUUGUUCAUAGUCUUACCUGGCAUGAUAGCUAUUGCCAGUAAAGGAUGUUUAUUCUGUAUGUAUACGUAUUGUAACAAUGUGC